AUCCAGCUGAUGAGUCCCAAAUAGAAAUAAACAUGCGUCGUGGAU
rnacentral:hammerhead_ribozyme from 1 species